rnacentral:rRNA from 1 species
UUGACUUGACCUCGGAUCAGGUAGGGAUACCCGCUGA